CCGCAGCCGAAAGGCCCUGACGCUUCGGGGUAUGUUGAGCGGGAUCAUCGUCCCGUCCAAGCGUAUAAUUCCGGGGAGUACCGUAGUGGUGAGAAGCGGAAGAAAGCGUGAUGGAGUAAUUCGACAAAUUCCCGGAGCCCAUGAAAAGGGGGAUACCGUCCGUACCGAGAACCGACACAGGUGCCCCUCGCUGAGAAGGCGAAGGCGUGUCGGAUUUAAUCGUGUUAAGGGAACUCGGCAAAUUGGCCCCGUAACUUUGGGAGAAGGGGUGCCUGCCUGGAGAUCAGGCAGGUCGCAGUGACCAGGGAGCUCUAACUGUCUAAUAACAACAUAGGAGACUGCAACUCGGAAACGACUAGUAUAGUCUCUGAUUCCUGCCCAGUGCGAGUAUCUGAACACCCAGUUCAAUGGGACGAAGGACUCGUAAACGGCGGGGGUAACGAUGACCCUCUUAAGGUAGCGUAGUACCUUGUCGCUUAAUUGGCGACUUGCAUGAAUGGAUUAAUGAGAGCUCUACUGUCCCUAACACGAAUCCGUUGAACCUUUUGUCCUAGUGCAGAGACUAGGGACUCCUAUUGGGAAGUGAAGACCCCGUGGAGCUUUACUGCAGCCUGUCGUUGAAUUACGGUUUUACAUGCGCAGCGUAGAUGGGAGGCGUUAUAUCCGUUUCUUUCGGGGAACGGGGAGCCACCAAUGAGACACCAUCCUUGUUUGGCUGUAAUUCUCACUCGUCUUUACGAGGACAUCGAUAGGUAGGCAGUUUGGGUGGGGCGCCACACCCUCGAAAAAAUAUCAAGGGUGCCCUAAGGUCAACUCAUGUGAGUCAGAAACUCACAGUAGAGUGAAAGAGCAAAAGUUGGCCUGACGCGAUUGCGCAUAGCAAGCAAUCGCGAGAGGAAACUCGGGUCUAACGAACCAAUAUGCCCUUUUGGUGAGGGCUAUUGACGACAGAAAAGCUACCCCGGGGAUAACAGAGUCGUCGCCGGCAAGAGCACAUAUCGACCCGGCGGCUUGCUACCUCGAUGUCGGUUCUUUCCAUCCUGGCUGUGCAGCAGCAGCCAAGGGUGAGGUUGUUCGCCUAUUAAAGGGGAUCGUGAGCUGGGUUUAGACCGUCGUGAGACAGGUCGGUUACUAUCUAAUAGGAGUGUCAGGAGUCUGAGGGUAAGAAUGAAAUAGUACGAGAGGAACUUUCAUUCGGCGCCUCUAGUCGAUCGGUUGUCCGACAGGGCAGUGCCGAGCAGCCACGCGCCAAGGGAUAAAAGCUGAAAGCAUCUAAGCUUGAAACCCGGCCUAAAAAGAGACUCCGUUACAGGACAUGAGUAAAAGACUCGUUUGAUAGGCUCGGGAUGUACGCACGAAGGCAACGACGUGUUCAGUCCGCGAGUACUAACGUCCAAAUACCCCAG
rnacentral:rRNA from 1 species